UGGGGAAUUUUGGACAAUGGGCGCAAGCCUGAUCCAGCCAUGCCGCGUGCAGGAUGAAGGCCUUCGGGUUGUAAACUGCUUUUGUACGGAACGAAAAGUCUCUUUCUAAUACAGACGCCUCAUGACGGUACCUGAAGAAUAAGCACCGGCUAACUACGUGCCAGCAGCCGCGGUAAUACGUAGGGUGCAAGCGUUAAUCGGGAUUACUGGGCGUAAAGCGUGCGCAGGCGGUUAUGUAAGACAGAGGUGAAAUCCCCGGGCUCAACCUGGGAACUGCCUUUGUGACUGUAUAGCUAGAGUACGGUAGAGGGGGAUGGAAUUCCGCGUGUAGCAGUGAAAUGCGUAGAUAUGCGGAGGAACGCCGAUGGCGAAGGCAAUCCCCUGGACCUGUACUGACGCUCAUGCACGAAAGCGUGGGGAGCAAACA
rnacentral:rRNA from 1 species